rnacentral:rRNA from 1 species
GACGAACGCUGGCGGCGUGCUUAACACAUGCAAGUCGAGCGGUAAGGCCCUUUCGGGGGUACGACGAGCGGCGAACGGGUGGAGUAACACGUGGGUGACCUGCCCUCAGCUCUGGGAUAAGCCUGGGAAACUGGGUCUAAUACUGGAUAUGACUCCACGGUGCAUGUCGUGGGGUGGAAAGCCUUGUGCGGCUGAGGAUGGGCCCGCGGCCUAUCAGCUUGUU